CGACUGGGCAGUUUGCUUCACUGUCCUCUGCCUACAAACUGUCACUUUCCACUGCAACGUGAGGGCAGCCAGGCAGCAUGGCCCGGCUUCCCCACUCCCACCCCUUCCCUGGAUCGUGUUCCCUGAGGGCACCCUGGGUGGCCAAGAUCAGGAAGGGAGGGAUCUUAUGUACAUAUUUGACAUUCACACCAAGCUAGGCAGAAGAUUCUCUGGUUUCAGCCCUUAUCCUCACCCAAAUAAGCCUGAAAACCGCUACUCAAGCAGUACUUCCCAGUCAGGUCUUCAGAUUUUAGUCCAGGAGGGCUCUGUCAUGUAUGCUAGUUCCACUUACAGUAAAGACUUAAUGUGAUGUUCCUGUAACCCUGCUUAUGAUUUAUUUCUCAGGUAGCAUAGACAGGGUGGUUGGUUUCCAAAGAAAAACAAACACUAAGAGCUGUUAACACCCAGAAGCUCCAGAAAGCAGCAGCCCCGCAAGACCAGCAGCAGAGACCAGCACCUGGUAGAACUGACCUACGGUGUCCAGCACAAGUUGGCACUAGAAAGUGGUGGCCGGCAGGAGCAGAGACUCGGCGUCCAAUAGAGCUGGUUAUGUCAACUGUUGGCAUUCGGCUUUUCUUGUGUCAUCUUCUUCUAGCCUCUACAGUAAAAGUGGACAAAGGAAAAAUGAGUAGGGAUUGCAUGUCUUGGGCAACCAAAAAUGCCUGCCACAGAAACCUGGAUAAUAAGAGUUUUAAUGGUGCCAAGCCAGACUAUACGCAAUUGAAGAGUAAACGGGGAGUUGAAUACUGCAACACAGGGCUAAUCUGUAGCUGUGGAGCAAGAACCAGGUCCAGUCCGAUCAAGAUCAAAUCCACCGCCUUUUCCCCAUUGCUAUCGCAUCAGACUCUGGCUCUCUGACCAUCGCCUCUACUGCUGUGUUCCCAGUGCCCACCAGCGACCGCUUAGCCUGUUCUCAGUGUUUCCCGGAUGAGCG
rnacentral:lncRNA from 1 species